GGAUUGUAGUUCAGUGGUAGAGCUCUUGCUUAGCGUGUGUGAGGCACUGGGUUCGAACCUCAGCACCA
rnacentral:tRNA from 1 species